GCCAGACUCCUACGGGAGGCAGCAGUGGGGAAUAUUGCACAAUGGGAGAAACCCUGAUGCAGCGACGCCGCGUGAGUGAAGAAGUAUUUCGGUAUGUAAAGCUCUAUCAGCAGGAACGAGACAAGACGGUACCUGACUAAGAAGCCCCGGCUAACUACGUGCCAGCAGCCGCGGUAAUACGUAGGGGGCAAGCGUUAUCCGGAAUCACUGGGUGUAAAGGGAGCGUAGACGGCUGUGCAAGCCUGAAGUGAAAGGCGGGGGCCCAACCCCUGGACUGCUUUGGGAACUGUACGGCUGGAGUGCAGGAGAGGUAAGUGGAAUUCCUAGUGUAGCGGUGAAAUGCGUAGAUAUUAGGAGGAACACCAGUGGCGAAGGCGGCUUACUGGACUGUAACUGACGUUGAGGCUCGAAAGCGUGGGGAGCAAACAGGAUUAGAUACCCCAGUA
rnacentral:rRNA from 1 species